UUGGGAUGGUCUUGAUUACUGCAGUGU
rnacentral:piRNA from 1 species